UACGUAGGAUGCAAGCGUUGUCCGGAAUUAUUGGGCGUAAAGAGCGUGUAGGCGGCCCGACAAGUCCGCUGUGAAAGUCCAGGGCUCAACCCUGGAAUGCCGGUGGAUACUGUCGGGCUAGAGUCCGGAAGGGGCGAGUGGAAUUCCUGGUGUAGCGGUGAAAUGCGCAGAUAUCAGGAGGAACACCGGUGGCGAAGGCGGGUCUCUGGGCCAUUACUGACGCUGAGGAGCGAAAGCGUGGGGAGCGAACAGG
rnacentral:rRNA from 1 species